AACAAUACAAAUGACCAAGACAGUAAAUUUUAGAUCAUUAAAAGAAGUAAAUCAUGGUCUUUAUCUAGAUCGCGUAAUUAACCACAAAAAGGUAUGUGAAAUUUCACUUAACCAAAAAAAAGAAGCUUACGUGUCGCAGUUAGUGCUCAUGGAGAUGGGAUAGGGAAUGCUAACACCGCACUUUCCAGGAAGGCUAGAGGCUAGACUUGGAUUGACGUUCUUUGCAGCGGUCUUUAGGCAUUUACAUGCUUGUUGGCGGUCCGGUGUGGUUUUAGCCAUACUGUUCAAUUUUGAAACUCCGGCGCAGCAUGGAGCUGGCACCGGCCCGCCUUUCAUUAGAUAGCUGGCACAUGGAGCCAAGUUACUUGUCACUGUGCCACAUGAGAUUGCUGCAUCUACUGAUGCAACUAUGCACACAGUCAAAACAAGGCAUGUGAAAAAACUCAGAGCCGAAGCCAUUGUCUUUUGCUUUUCUCUUUUUCUUUGUGAUGAUAAGAAAAUAAGGAGACUUAGUUGCUUUUGUGAUUAUAAGCUUGUGUUAUGAUGUUGGAUGUGAGAAAAUGAUGAUGGGUUUAUAUAGGGAAUUUAGAUGGGAAAAUAGGAUGACUAACUACUAACUUAGAAUAUGUUAGACUGUUAUUAGUUGGAUUUGCAUUUAAUGCAUUUCAUUCCUUCUAGUUUUGUCUACUAACGAGAAGAAUUUGUUUCACUGUCACAAUUUUUAUGUACAUAUACGUUAGUCUGUCAGAGACUACGCAAAUAUCUAAUAUUAUACUUUUGUGAAUUUAUUAGUUUACUACACUUUUGGUUGUUUUAGAUAUUAGGUUUGAGCGAUAUUCAAGAAUUGAAAGCCAGUUGCAAAAAAGAAGACAUUACACGACUUGGUAAUCGUACUUGGUAAUCGUAUGUUUUUAUUUUCCCUCUGUAUAGCGGUAAUGAUAUCGCUUAAAGAAUAUUUAUUUUGGUUCGCCCAUUACAUUAGUCAAAAAAAAUAUUUAUUUUGGUUUCGCGCAUAAUCAAUAGUUUAUCAACUAUUAGAGGUACAGUGCCAAUUAAAUUUUAAUACCGUCCAAUUAAAUGGAGUGUGUAGCAGAAGGACACGCGUAUCCAACAGCAAACAUCAGAACUCUCCCAACUAGCCCCAUCACAUUCUUCAAUUUCGUUGGACCACCUUUUUGUUUUCCCAUUAAUUAUCUAAGGAAAAACCUAACUAUGGUCAUUAGAUACAGUACUAUACCGACAAAAAAGUUUUGCCCAACUAUGAAACUUCAAAUAAUAAAACUUACUGCAUCACGCACAAAAAAUAGAGAAAAUCGCUUAAAAAAAUCUUCAAAGUGACACCCACUUACAUUUUAAAUCUUUAGAAUAAUUCAUAAAUACUUUAAAUCUUGAAAGUAACACUUUUAUCGAAAGAAAUUUUCAAUCUAGUUUACUUGUACAUCAAAUCAAAAUGUUAGCCGGUAUUGUUCAAAAUCGAUAAUGCGUCGAUUUUUUUUUUAAUAUUUUAUAAGUAAAAUAAAUUAAAAAAUAAAAAAUUAUAAAAAAUCAUAAAAAAUCAAAACAAAUCAUAAAAGUCACUAAAAAUUUACAAAUCAAAAUAUUCACCAAAAAAAUUUAAAUUAUUUUAUUAAUAAAAUAAAUAUAAAAAUACAUAAAAUAUAAAAUUCAUAAAAAAUACAAAAAAAAUUCACAACAAAUCAUAAAAUCAAUAAAAUUCACAAAAAAUCUAAAUAUUCCCAAAAAAAUACUUUAAAUUAAUAAAAUAAGUAUAAAAUACAGAAAAUAUAAAAAAAAAUCAUAAAAAUUCACAAAAAUCAAGAAUAAAGUUUUAUAAAAGCGACUAAGGAAUAAUGUGCAUUGAGUGUUAUAAACUGGCUACCCUGAAGCUAUCAUUAGUAUCCAUUCUUCCCUUUAACAAUCAUGAAGUUUCCCAAAUCCAACCAACACACACAUAACAUAACAGAUUAAAAAAUAUCCAAAUUGCAGUCGGUCUCUCGUUAUGAUUACUCUAAUUCAGAUUAGAAAAUUCAUUAUCUUCAAAUAAUUCUCGUGAAUGAUUUGUUUUGAAUUUUUUGAAAUUUUUAUAUUUUAUGUAUUUUUAUAUUUAUUUUAUUAAUAAAAUAUUUUAAAAUACAUUUUGUGAAAUUUUUGAUUUUUAUGAAUUUUAUUGAUUUUUUUUAUUUUUAGUGAUUUUAUGAUUUGUUUUGAUUUUUUAUGAAUUUUAUAUUUUAUUUUUUAUAUUUAUUUUACUGAUAAAAUAAAUUUAAAAAAAUUCAAAAAAAAUAGACCCGACACAUCAUCGAUUUUGAACAGAAUCGCUUACCGUUUUGACUUGAUGUAUAAGUAAGCCAAAUUGAAGGUUUUUUUUUAUAAAAGUGUCACUUUAGAGGUUUAAAGUGCUUGUGAAAUGUUCUUAGGGUUUAAAGUGUAAGUGGUUGCCAGCUUAAGGGUUUUUAACGCGAUUUUCCCCAAAAAAUUAUAUAACCUUGAAGAGUUUUAUGCAUCAAUAUGUUACUAGUGUGGCUGUGUUAUAUUUUCUCUAAUGCCACUUCAAGGAUUAAUGUCCUUGCAACCCUCCUUUUUGCUAAAUAAAAUUUUUGAGCAUGGAGAAAAUUUAGUAAAUGUUUAAAGAAAAUAUUGGAAAGAUUAAGGGUGACCCUGAAUGUUAAGACGACAAAAAACAAAAUCCAGAAAAUCAUAAAAGUUAGGACCCACGAUCAUAUAAAUAAAACGGAAUGAAGAAGAUAGAAAAGUGAUUUUGGGAAACUUUUGGUGUAGGAAAUGAUAGAAAAAUGUGUUAGAGAAUAGUCAAAUUUACAGAAUGUGUGUGAAACAUAUGUUAUGUGAUAAAUUAUAUCAGUUCCAGUGAAAAUAAAUACCACAGAAGAGUAGCUCUUAGUGAAGAGCUGAAUGAUACUUUUGUUAUCUAAAAUAAAAUCAUGAGAGGUUACAUAUUUUACCGCUUAAGGGCAUGUGCAAUCCAACUCUAGUUUUUAUCCUAAAAUAAAGUAAAAAUAGAAUAUAGCGUAAAAGAUGCUCCAAACUCAACUUCAUACUUCAUUCCAUAAUGAAAUUUACUUCAUAAAUAGAGUAAUCUAUUUUUUGUCUGUUUAUUACUCCAUUAUGAAGUAAGAAAUAGAAUAAAAUUGAAGCAUUUUUACUCCAUAUUCUUUUUACUCCAUUUUGAAAGAAAAAAUGUAGUUUUAUAUCGGAAAUGCUCCAAUAACUGGAAAAUAUGUUUUAACCCUUUAUGCAGAGGUAAUUAUGUUCUAGAAACCAGCUUGCCGCUAUCCAACUAGUGAAAAAAAUCAAAUACAAGGCACCUGAGAUGUAACAAAAGUGCUAAAACUCAGUGAGGAGCAGAUGAGUCUUUAUAGCACAGGCUGCACAGCCAGAGUUUCUACCAUAACAGACCAUCUUAACAGAGGAAAAACAUCUGAAGUAACAAGUUGAGAUCAAAGAGAUACUAGUAAUUAAAUAAAUAAGAUUCGAAAAAGUUUUCCGAAAGUUUCUGAAUGUCUUCUUCUUAGGACUUACAUACUUGAGAGUACAAUCUAGUUUUCUAGUAGACAGAAAUACUAAGAACAUAAUAAUUAACUACAAAUGAAUGUAAUUUUUCACACUUAAGUGGCUGAUCUCGAGUUAUUGAGUUAUCAACGUUCAUAUCAAAUGGUUGAGUAAUUGACAUCUUAACAAAUAGACUGCAUUUUUGUUGUUCAUGGUCAAUGUGGCAUGUGAUUUUAUCUGGAGUUGCAGGAUCCUACGUCUAGACCAAUAGCAAUCCGCUAGAAUCAGAUAGUUACAAAAGAGAGAUUCGAGCAAGCAAUCGGUACCAGAUGAAGCACAAGAUGGAUCGACUUAUAUGUAAACCGUGACUUCAGAAUCUUGUUUAUUUUGUUUCUAUGUUGGACACACAUCAUUGCGGAGAUAUCGUUGCAAUAAGAAGACUCAAAAGCUGUUUCAGAUUAAGAUAAGGAAGUAGCAUCCUAGUUGUACGAAAAAUGUGUAGUUGAAACUUGAAAUCGUCGUGUAUGAAAAUUUCUUUUGAUACAUAAUUCAAUCUCGAUUGUUAGUAAUAUUGGACUACUUAGUAUAACAAAAACUAUAUUUAACCCUUGUCAUCUAAAAGUUUAUAAUUGGAUGGGAGAAACCAUAUAUAGUAUUUCUUCUUGGUAUUUCUAAUUUGGUUUUAAAUUUGGUACCAAUCUAAAUUUUUUAAAGAUACCAAAAUCUAAGCUCUUAAUAAAUAUAUUUAUAUGGCUCUAUAAUCGGUGGUUAUAGUACUCUCCCAUUCACUAUAUAUAUAUGAUUAAUAUCGGAGAAAAUAUAUAAAGAGACGAUGAUUAAUAGGAUAAUAUUAUCAUAUCUUAAACAUCAUUAAGACACAAUAUAAAGCAAAAGAUUACAAAGUAAUAUGACAAACUUUCGACUGCAAAAUAAAAACAAGACAAACUAGGACAUGCUGAGGUCAGUGUAGAUAGACACUCUUUUAUUUAUGCUAGACCAUACUGUUCAUCCUCACGAUGAUAUAUGAGUUCCCAUUUCACUUGACGCUGCAACAAUACAAACGACCAAGACAGUAAAUUUAGAUCAUUAAAAGAAGUAAAUCAUGGUCUUUUAUCUAGAUCGCGUAAUUAACCACAAAAAGGUAUGUGAAAUUUCACUUAACCAAAAAAAGAAGCUUACGUGUCGCAGUUAGUGCUCAUGGAGAUGGGAUAGGGAAUGCUAACACCGCACUUUCCAGGAAGGCUAGAGGCUAGACUUGGAUUGACGUUCUUUGCAGCGGUCUUUAGGCAUUUACAUGCUUGUUGGCGGUCCGGUGUGGUUUUAGCCAUACUGUUCAAUUUUGAAACUCCGGCGCAGCAUGGAGCUGGCACCGGCCCGCCUUUCAUUAGAUAGACGGCACAUGGAGCCAAGUUACUAGUCACUGUGCCACAUGAGAUUGCUGCAUCUACUGAUGCAACUAUGCACACAGUCAAAACAAGGCAUGUGAAAAAACUCAGAGCCGAAGCCAUUGUCUUUUGCUUUUCUCUUUUGUCUUGUGAUAAGAAAAUAAGGAGACUUAGUUGGUUUUAUGAUUCUAAGCUUGUGUUAUGAUGUUGGAUGUGAGAAAAUGAUGAUGGGUUUAUAUAGGGAAUUUAGAUGGGAAAAUAGGAUGACUAACUACUAACUAGAAUAUGUUACUGUUAUUAGUUGGAUUUGCAUUUAAUGCAUUUCAUUCCUUCUAGUUUUGUCGACUAACGAGAAGAAUUUGUUUCAUUAUCAAAAAAUUUAUACGCAUAUAUACGUUAGUACGUCAGAAACUACCCAAAACUUCGCCCCCCUUAACUGUAAAUCAUAAGUUUAGAUUAGUUAAUCAUACGGUAAAAAUACUUCAAUAAUUUGGUCUUUUUUUUAAUUGAGAACUACUUUUAAGUAAAAAUACAUUUUUACCUUUUAAUAAAAUUUAUUUUUGUUAUUUUUUUAAUUGAAAACUAUUUUUGUGACAAAAACUUAAAAACUACUAUCAGAACGGAUUUUUCUAUAUUUAUUUUGGUUUCUCACAAUAAAUCAAUAAUUUAUCAACUAUUAGCGGUUCGUACUGUGCGAAUUAAAUUUGAAUACCGUCCAAUUAAAUAGAGUGCGUAGCAGACGGACACGCGUAUCCAGCAGCAAACAUCAGAACUAUCCCCAUCACAUUUCCAAUUACAUUGGGCCACCUUUUUGUUUUCCCAUUAAUUAACUAAGGAGAAAACUAACUAUGGCAUUAGAUACAGUACUAUACCGACAAAACAAUUUUGCCCAAAAACUUUAAAAUUUAUAUUCUACCUGCAUCGCACAUAAGAAAAACAUUAUACAUUUGAAGAGUUUCAUUGUUUACCAUCGUACAGCGGGAAAAUAGGUUUGAUUCUCCAAGCAUCUCUAUUUGGUAAAUUUUCGCUCGGAAAAUAGUCUUUACUUAUAGUCGACUGUGAAAAAUUCUGAUUGAAAAAUGUCAAUUGCUAAACAAUUAACGAAAAGUUACUAUCAAUUAAAACAUAAUCACAAUUUUAUGCUAAGGUCAGGUAUAAAAACAUAUUUAAUUAUUUGCAAUCAACAGAUUUAAAAAAAAAAAAAUUAUACAGAAAUUUAAGUACUUCAAAUUAAAGCUAGUAUGUGUGAUCACAUAAGUUUUUUUUAAAAACCUUGUGAUCAUAAACAUAAGUUCACAAAAAAAGAAGAUAAACUGAUACAUAAAGUCAAGCUGAUUCACAAAGUCACACAUAAUGUCAUGUUUUAAAUAUUCACAAUAAACAAAAAUUGUUAUUCUAAACAGCUAAAUAUAUUAAUAUUUAAAUGCCAAAUGAAUCGUAUUUUACGCUUUUUAGUUUUAAAUUAUUUAUAUCUGUUUUAAAAUUUUAAAUUAGCUAAUAACAUUAUGCAAAUAUAAAUAUAGACUUUAUGAUUAUAUAAAUUAUUUAAUAGCCAGUUUUUAUAUAAAAUAUGAUGGGAAAUGAAAUACAAUAGUUAGGAAUGAUUAAUGAUUAAUACAUAUAAAUUUAUUUGUUUCAUCUAUGGAAAAUGAUAAAUACUUUUUACUUUAUUUUACAAUAAUAUUUUUAGUAAAUAAAAUAUACAUACAAAAUUAAUUUCUUAAAAUAUCAUGUUUAAGUAGUACAUGAUCUGUAUACAUACAUAAUACACCUGUUUUAUUAACUUUCAUAUCUACAAACACAUGUGUAUGUAUAUAUAUAUAUAUAUAUAUAUAUAUAUUUACAUGUAUAUAUGUAGUUUAUAUCUUUAUUGAAUAUAAACUUGACGUUUGCGAUUGGAAAAUAAAUAAAGAGACUUGAAUUCUGAAAAUAAAUCACUUUUUAUGUUAUGUAAUUCAUAUUUCAUUUAAAUAUAACAAAAUGUGAUAUUUAGAGUUGUAAGAGCGUGAUUAUUGGGGGUUUUUAGGGUGUGGUUCUUAGCGGAAUAUAAGAAUCCGUCUCUUAACUUUUAACUAAAAAAACUAAGAACCGAUUCUUAAAUAUAUUAUAUUCCGCUAAAAACACCCUAAGAACCCCCAAUAAUCAUGUUCUAACUUGUAAAUAACUACGAGUGCCGUUCAAAAAAAAAGAGUUGUAACUGUGAGUUUGUUUCAUUCGUAAUUUUUUUUCUUGAUAAUAUAGGAUCCAGCAAACCAAAAUCCAACUGACUACUCCCAGUCAACCGGUACCAGACAUACCCAAUUGUUUGUAGUGGGAAUUAUAUACCCACGUCGACUUAUAAUACAAACAAGUAAAUAUAAAUCUGAUAGGUUUGGAUCCGGCAUGCUUAAUUAGAACCUUUUCCAAACCCGCCAUACCACCCAUAAUUAGAAAACAAUGUUAUUAUAUGAUGAAGAUUGAAGAGUCACAAAGCCUAAUGUUAGCAUGCAUUCGUUGCGAAGUAUAAUUGGAGUGCAUUGGAACUUGAUGAUUUGCUCCAUCCACAACACAGUUACACAGAUGUCUUAGUUCUUAAACAUAAUUAAGAUACAACUUAAGAAAAGCAAAACAACAUAAUCCAGGGCAUGCUUUUAACAUUUGUACCAAAAAAUAUACAAUACCAUAAACUAGCACUACAAGAAAACAUGAACGUUCAGACUACAUAAUCAGCCUGAACCAUACUGUAAGUGCAAGAUGCAAACACAAUAAGGUAAUGCAGAAGAUAAAUCAAGAGACAAAUACACAAGCAAACACCAAUGCUUUUAUUAAAAUCUCCUUUAAACAAUCUUUACAAGACUUGCUUAUUCAGCUUUUACAUGUCUAGUGUUAACACCCUAACACACGCUACUGAAAGAUUCCUAAGCUACCCGCUUAUGUCUCUUCUCCGUCAAGUACUUCAGCCACUGCUUCAGCACGACCCAAGAACACCUCCAAGAGCUUCUCUCUCUCUCUAAAAGAUCAGCCUCCGUGUCUUCGUCUCUAUACAGACGACCCCAUAGCUAUCUUAUAGUUAUUCUCCAUGUUCCUGAAACCCUAGUCUCCAAGGCAACAUAUAUGGACAUCUUCCAUAACAAUAAAUGCAACUUUCCUUUUCUUGGAAUGCAUUUAUUCCUCUUUCUUUAAGUCAUAAACUUGCUCCUCAAGUUUAUUCCUCUUUCCAUAUCUCCAAGAUACUCCCUUGCUCUCCAAGUCUACACGACUCCAGCUCAGCAUCUUGACUCCACAUGGUCUUCCCCACUUAACCCGACGUCUGCUUCAGCAACUACGUCAGCGACUACUUCAGGGCAGACAUCUUACAUCUUCAAUCUCCCCCUUUUAGCUUUGUGUGCCGAUCAAGCACAACACUCUUCUGGUUCAGCAACCACGUUCCUCACCUAGAAACUUUCAUACCAAAUGUGCUUUUCUCCCCCACGAAAUGUGCACCACACCAUGCUUUUCUCCCCCAUGAGAUAUGCAUCCUCUGUACCAGAAUAUCACCAUUUUCCCCCUGCUUGAUUGCAUACUAAGCUAAAACAGAUGCUUAGAUGUCAAGCUUUACAGACCUACCGUCUGUUUCUUCAUGUAUAAUCAUGACACAGCUCCUGCUGCAACGGAAUAACAAGUACUGCAUCACGAUCUGACGCACCUAUCGAGCUACCUCUCGACCCACUUAUGUUGAGGACCUGGCUACCUUCAUGUGUCGUCUCCUUGACCAUGAGCCCUUCCCCAUCCGCACCGAGUGCCCUCUGCACUCGUUGCUAUUGUCUUGGAGUGAUUUCACAAUCACACCCCUGAAGAUCAUCUCGCACCACUUCUUGACGCACUUCGAUCUCCUUCCCCUUUGUGCCAUAAACAACCUCGUGUCCUGGCUCUAAACUUGAUGCUUCUUGAUCAACCUCAAGAUCACUCCUACCAGAGCUGCAUCCAUCUUCUGAUGUCUUAUCCUUGAUCUCAUCAAGUAAGCCACUCUUGGCUAAGGACACCUCUUCAACCCUCCUGGGCUUAGUGAACGUCUUGUUCACCUUCUUGGCCAUGUUGCUGCUCUUUUCACGAGCAAAACACUCCACCUUCUUGUGUUCAACCUUCCCACAGAACCAACAGCACAUCCGAUGUUGAUUUUUUCUUGGCCUGACACAGUUGCUGAUGCACCGAUCAGUCUCCUUCCUUGUACCAGUUGCACAACCAUGCUUCAGAACCUCCUGUCUGACCUUCAUGUUGUUGCACUAAUGUACUACAUUCGGCUUGUUACUCACAGCUGCGCGCUGUAGAACUUCAUGCCUUACUCCCUGUCGUACGUCUCGACGUACUUCCUGACAAGCUCCUUUGGCUCCACUUUUUGAUGUGCUCCCAUGCACGAAAUGUGAUAGCCCCUUCUGUUGUACUUCCUUAGUACUCUCAGCUCCUCGAUAUCCCAGUCCCCAAUUCGCCUUGGCUGGUUGACCCAUCGAGAGUAUCUUAUCCAACUCCUUGGAUCUACUGUUGAGCAUCCUGAUCUGUUUGUGAUUGUAAGCCAAAUCAUGUUCCAGCAUCCUUGCUCUCUCUUGUUCACCAAUAGCAACUUUCCUCAGCUUGCUAUUUUCCUGCUCAAGAGACUCAUUCUUCUCAUUCACAGCCGCAAGUUCUUCACGAAGUUCUUCAAGCAACUCGUUCUGCUUCUGAGCCAUAUCCUCCAACAUCAGAUUCUGAUCCUUAACCCUCAACCACUUGUUAAGCAGCACAUGAUACUCCUCAUCAUCUGUGCUGAGAUCUGAAUCAGAGGACUUAAUAGAUCCCUCCUUGCGUGCACCAAAUGCAACAAGGUUCUUUAUCACCUUUCCAUCUUCUUCAGACUCUGAAUCAUCAGACGACUGCAAUGGAACUCCUUUCUCCUUCUUUGAGUUUGGACAUUCACGCCGUGUGUGUCCAACACCUCUGCACUCAGAACACUUAAGUUCUCUCUGUUGUGCUACAGGACAGUCAGCCCUUAUAUAACCAACACCUUCACACUCAUAGCAUCUAAGACGUUCUCUUCUUCUGUUAUUGCCACGAUCACCUCCCUAGCGACCAUACUGAUUCCACCCACCAGAGGAAUUCAUCAUCUUACUCAGAUUCCUAGCCAACAUCCCCAUGGCAUCUUCAACAUUCGGAGAUUUAUCUCCAUCUUUGUCAGCAGCAAGAGCUAUACUCCUUGAUGCACCACCUGACGUAGAGACUGAACUACUGUCUUUCUCCAUCUCUUGUGCCUUUAGUGUACCCACAAGUUUGUCAAGCUUGAGCUCAUCCGUGUUUGUAGUCAUCUGCAAGACCACCUUGUGAGCUUCAAAUUUUGUUGGAAGAAAACGUAGUAACUUCUUUACCAGCUUCUUCUCCUUGUACUUCUUCCCAAGUACAAAUGCUUCAUGCGCCAUUCCACUGAGUUUGGCACUAAAGCUCGUCACAGAAUCAUUAUCAGACCACCUGAGAUUCUCAAACUGCGACCCAAGAUGAUCUAGACGUGUCCUCUUGACACUCUCAUCUCCUUCAAACGAAUUCAGCAGGAUCUCCCACGCCUCUUUAGCCGAAGAAGCAGGAUCUCCCACGCCUUUUUAGCCAUAGUACUCCCAUGAAUAAGCUGAAACUGCUCUGCUUCAACAGCUCCAAAAAUCACCGACAACGCCUUUGCAUUAAAUUUUGAUGCAUUGCUUUCUGCCUCUGACCAAUCCUCUUUUGGUUUAGGCUUCUUCUCACCUUCUGUGACUAUGGUAGGCUCCUCCCAACUAAUCUCCACAGCUGUCCACACAUCUUCAUUGAUUCCUCGAAUCAUCUGCUUCAUGCGAGCCUUCCAAUGACCAUACUGGUCCGCAUUCAACACGACCGCCUUCUGCACAUAAAUAAUCGUGUCCAUCUUCACCUUCAGGAUAACACCGGUAACUUAGGUGCCCUGCUCUGAUACCACUUGUAAGUGCAAGAUGCAAACACAAUAAGGUAGUGCAGAAGAUAAAUCAAGAGACAAAUACACAAGCAAACACCAAUGCUUUUAUUAGAAUCUCCUUUAAACAAUCUUUACAAGACUUGCUUAUUCAGCUUUUACACAUCUAGUGUUAACACCCUAACACACGCUACUGAAAGAUUCCUAAGCUACCCGCUUAUGUCUCUUCUCCGUCAAGUACUUCAGCCACUGCUUCAACACGACCCAAGAACACCUCCAAGAGCUUCUCUCUCCCUCUAUAAGAUCAGCCUUCGUGUCUCUGUCUCUAUACAGACGACCCCAUAGCUAUCUUAUAGUUAUUCUCCAUGUUCCCGAAACCCUAGUCUCCAAUGCAACAUGCAUGGACAUCUUCCAUAACAAUAAGUGCAACUUUCUUUUUCUUGGAAUGCACUUAUUCCUCUUUCUUUAAGUCAUAAACUUGCUCCUCAAGUUUAUUACUCUUUCCAUAUCUCCAAGAUACUUCUUUGAUCUCCAAGUCUACACGACUCCAGCUCAGCAUCUUGACUCCACAUGGUCUUCACCACUUAACCCGACGUCUGCUUCAGUAACUACGUCAGCGACUACUUCAGAGCAGACAUCUUACAUCUUCACAUGCGGCAAUGCUAAGAUCGGCAUACGUAGACGUUUUCUGUUUACGUUACAUUUGCUAAACCAUAUAUUAUUCACCCACCGACCCACAUAAUUCCCACUUCACUUGACGUGGAACAAGGCAAAAAGUUACGUCAUAGGAGUAUAUGAUAAAAUUAAAUAAUGGAACUCGAGAUCAAGUGAUCGACAAAUUAAUUAGCCAUAAAGAGAGAAAAAUAUCUUACUUGUCUAGUAAGAGUAUAACUAUCGCUGAGUUUCGUGACACGGUUUCUUAGGAAAUUUUUUAAAAUUUUUUUUUGUCUAAAAAAAAUCAAAUCAAAUUGAAUCAUUCGCGAACCGCCACGUGUUAGUGGGAUCUGCAAACAGUGCAAGAAACACUCUAAAAUCGGUCUUUAUUUCAUUACUUCUGUAACCGAUUCUUACUUUUUUGUGGGGCCCACGCCAUUAGAAACCCACUAACCAUCCGCGACAAUGGUGGCCUAAAAUGGGAUAGGAACAGGACCGGCUCAACAUUGCUGGAUCCUAGGGCAAAAAAUAAAUUUACUGUCUAAAAUUUAUAUACAGAUAUGUUUAAAAUAUUAUUAAAAUUUAAUCAAUAAUAUUUUGUGUAUUUUGAAAUAGAAAUAAAACUAUAUACAUAUCAAAUAAUUUUAGACCCAUUCAAUUUUAUUUAUUAUUAUAUUUAUAUUUUUUUAUGAUUUAUAAAAAAAAUGGAUCUCUUAAUUAUUAUUAUAUGGGGAUGCGGACUUGGCUCCGGGGACCGCUUGUUCCCCCCUCCCCCGCCCCAAUGAGCAUGUCCUCGAUAGGAACAGUAAGAAGCAUCUUUAACGGAGACCCUUAAUGGAGUGCUAAGUGGUGGGUCCCACCAUAAGAGAAAAAGAAGAGGUGCAAAAAACGUCAGAUUAAGCGUCGAGUUUUCCACUGUUUUGCGGGCCUCACUGACACGUGACGGCCCGUGAUUGAUUUGUUUUUAAUUUUAAUUUUUUUUAAUCAGACAAAAAAUCAAAAAAACAAAAUUAAGGGUGCUAGGGUUAAUGGGGUGCUAGGGUUAAGGGUGCUAUUACUUUCCAGCAUGAAUUAUCUCUAUUUUUUUCUCAUUGUAUCCGUUGGAAUUGCUCUAACACAGUACUCGUGUAGUUGAAGAAAAUAUUAUUAGUUUAAAUUUUAAUAAUAAUACUGGUUGCUGCUAGUAGUGAAGGUUUCAUGGAUAUUUUAAAAAGAUUUAGGCAUUGACAAAAAGAAAGAUCAAUUUUUCUUUAUUCUUUAAAAUUACAGAAUUUAUGAAUAUUUUUUUUUAUCAUAGCCAACUAUUUUUAGUACCUUUAAACUAAUUGUAAUUUUAUAAACUUUUUUUUGACAUUUACAAUUUCUCAUUAUUAUCUAAUAAAAUAGAUUAAAAUACAAAAGUAUUUUAAAAAUAGAUUUUUAAAUUGUAUAUCAUAUCAUCUAAAAACAUUCAAAUCGAGGAAGUAGCUAUUACAUUUUCAAAUGUCAACUAAAAUGCUUUAUUUGUUAUGUUUUGGUUGUAAAUUGUUAGCUUUAACAACAAAAACAGAGUUUUUGAAAAAUGAAUUACAUCAAACGGGGAAAUGCUAUAUGUGCGUUGUGAGUUUUAAUAAGUAGGAUCCUCUUACAAUUCCAAAACCAAGAUUUAUAAAAUAUCCAGAUAUGUAGUAAAGAAAUAGUGCUAUAUACAAACAUUCAUCAUCAAAUAUUCAUUCGAACACGUAAUAUACCAAAAAAAAAACGAAUUAAUGGUUAUAGAAAUGGAAGCUUACUCAAAUGACAGCAAUUUACAAAACAUGGUAGGUAAAAGUACUCCAAUUCACAAGCACUUACAUAAAUAAUAGUCACGGAUCAAUUUAAAAUUUGAAAAACGAUAAAUCAGCAUCCGAGUAACUACAAUUUUUUUUAAAAAAGAACCGGUUAACUCGGUAAACCAGUAAAUUAAACAAACAAACAAAUAAAUAAAUACAGAUAAAAAACCUUCCAUUUUCUCCACCUCUUUGUCAGAGAAGAAGUUUCGAAAACCUCCACACACUCACUCACGCUUUACACUCUCCUUCCUUCCUUCCUCUUCGAUCCUUGACUCGUCCUUAGGAAGGAGAAGCAGUAUAUACAAUGUCGCCGCCGCGGUUUUCCAUCUUCGCUUUGGCUCUUCUCUUCGGACUCUCUCUCGCCGAGGAUCCUGCCAUCUCCUACGUUUACGAACUCUCUUACCUCACUGCCUCUCCUCUCGGCGUUCCUCAGCAGGUUUUUCGUCUCGAUCUAAUCCGAUCCUCUUUUUUAAACACGUAGUGAUUCACAAGCUCGUGUAUCGUUACUUGCUCCGUAGGGAUCUUAGUGUUUUGAUCGAUUCUGUUUUGUUGCAGGUUAUAGCAGUCAACGGAAUAUUCCCUGGCCCCGUUGUAACUGCCACAACAAACUAUAACGUCGAAGUUAACGUGUUCAAUCGUUUAGAUGAGCCUCUUCUACUCACUUGGUGACUCAUCUUUUUUUUUUUUUCUUUUUUUAUUUGUUCUCUGUUUGUGAUUUUUACUGACAUUUUGUGUGAUUUGUUUGAAUAAAGGAAUGGGAUUGAGAUGCGGCGUAACUCGUGGCAAGACGGUGUUCUCGGCACGAACUGUCCCAUCCCUCCGCAAUGGAACUUCACUUACAGCUUCCAAGUCAAAGAUCAGAUCGGUAGUUUCUUCUACUUCCCUUCCCUCAACUUCCAAAAAGCUUCAGGUGGUUUUGGUCCCAUCGUAAUCGAUAACCAGGAUCGUAUUCCUCUCCCGUUCGCUAAGCCUGAUGGCGAGAUCACCUUCAUGAUUGGUGAUUGGUAUACUCAGAACCACACCGUAAGUGUACUACUUGCUUGGUUCCUGUCUAUAAUUGGUGUUAUAUAAGUUGUAACGGUGAAAAGUUUGUUGCUUUAUUAGGUGUUAAGGAGUGUACUUGACUCUGGUAAAGAGCUAGAGAUGCCUGAUGGAGUCCUCAUCAAUGGGAAAGGUCCUUACAAGUACAACAGCAGUGUACCUGAUGGGAUUCGAUACGAAACUGUCAAUGUUGAUCCAGGGAAAACGUACAGGAUCCGUGUUCACAAUGUUGGCAUCUCCACAAGCUUGAACUUGAGGAUUCAGAGCCACAAGCUGCUCUUAGUCGAAACCGAGGGUCGCUACACCUCACAAACAAACUUCACUGAUUUUGAUAUCCAUGUGGGACAGUCUUACUCUUUCUUGGUCACCAUGGACCAAAACGCCUCGAGCGACUACUACAUUGUAGCGAGUGCUAGAUUCGUGGACGAAACGGUGUGGCAAAGAGUCACAGGUGUUGGCAUUCUCCGUUAUUCGAACUCCAAAGGUCCUGCUUCUGGUCCUCUUCCGGUUCCUUCAACUGAUGUUUCUCACCCUUGGACUGUAAUGAACCAACAGAGGGCCAUAAAGUAAUGUCUAUCAAAACUCUCUCAAGCGAGUGUGUAUAAGUGUAAAUCCUGAUUCUUUUUUUUUUGUCAUGUGUGCAGGCAAAACACAUCUUCGAGUGGAGCUCGUCCGAAUCCUCAGGGAUCAUAUCACUACGGGCAGAUAAAUAUCACAGGCACGUACAUUUUUAGAACCAUGGCUCCGACCAUAAUCAAUGGGUCGCUUCGUGCUACGCUUAAUGGAGUUUCGUUUCUGAAUCCAAGUACGCCCAUGAGGCUUGCGGAUAAGCAUAGUGUCAAAGGAGUUUAUAAGAUGGAUUUCCCAUCUAGACCUGUUGACAGAAGACCUCCUCGUUUGGGAAGCUCUAUCAUCAACGCAACGUACAGGAGCUUUGUUCAAAUUAUAUUCCAGAACAAUGACACCAAAGUCCAGAGCUUCCAUAUUGAUGGAUACUCUUUCUACGUCGUUGCGUAAGAUAAUCAUCAUGCCUUUCUUAUAAUUUGCACAUUGUUCUAUCAGUUUUUUUUAAUUUCUCUGACAUGUGUUGUAGAAUGGAUUUUGGUAACUGGACUGAAGACAGAAAAGGUUCUUAUAACAACUGGGAUGCAAUAUCACGAAGCACGAUAGAGGUUGAUUCACAUUUACAAUCACAAUCUGCCUCUUUUGUACACACCAUUUUGUUGUUUACUUUGUUUUUGUUUUGAUGUUUGCUUCAGGUUUACCCAGGAGCAUGGACUGCUGUACUGAUGUCACUCGAUAAUGCUGGAGUUUGGAAUAUCCGAGUUGAGAAUCUUGACAGAUGGUAUCUUGGUCAAGAAACAUACAUCCGAAUCAUAAACCCUGAGGAGAACGGUAAAACAGAAAUGGGUCAACCCAAAAACGUUCUUUACUGUGGUGCUCUCAGGAGCUUGCAGAAGUGAGCAUUAGAUACUUCACUGAUCUCUACUUCCUCUCAUAUCUCCUUUAGAUGAUGAUGUGUGAAAAUUUUGAGACAUUUUUCUUUUGUGACUUUGUGCAGGCAACAAGUCCAUAGCUCUGCAUCAUCAAUGCUAAUUGGAAAUUUGAUUCUAAUUUUCAGCUUCAUUAUGGUUCUGCUCGCCUCACCUUGCUGAGUCUCUUUCUGAUCUCCCACUGGUUAGGUCGUAUAACACGAACUGUAGGACUCUCUUAUUUCUUCUUCUUUGAUUUCAUUAAUUGGUUCUGUUCUCAGAUCUUUUGCUUCUCAUGGUUCAAAACAACUUUAGUUCGUGGGGGUUGGUUUAUGUCUCAAGCAUUGUAACUAAAUAUUUUUAUGGGUCUUCUACAUUAUCCAUAGUUAUAACUUUAUUUCAAUAUUCAAGAGUCGUAGAAUUUUUAUAUCAUUGUAGCUUUAAGCACGAUAACAAAGAAAACAAACCAUAGGUAGCCUUAGAGUCCAGAAUUGAAGGGUAUGCCGGUGCCUGGGAGCCAUGCGGUACCGGCGAUGAAGCUUCCAACAGUGAAAGCAGAUGCAUCGGAAGCUCUAUUCAACACAUGAAACCCUUUCCAACGAACACGCCCGCUCGUGGACGAAGCUGGUCCGGUAUUAUUAUACUCAGCGUAGAACAAUGUGUCUAAACCGAAAUCCGAACCUUUAAGCCACGGCGACCAACCUAACGGACUCACAACACUAUCCAAAUACGUCUGGAGAACCACGGUGCGCGAGUACUUCAUCCACGGCCUCCCCAUGUACGUCUUAACGAUACUCAUCACCGGUAUUAGAUCAGGAGCCGGUAGGAUAGUUGAGUUAUGGAUGGAAAUUCCAGUGUUCUGAAACGGAUGUGCACGAGCUUGCGCGGUUAUUACAUUGGCUUGACCCUUGAGCGGGCGGCGUGGGAGGAUGAGACAGUUUUGGAAGACUGCGGCCGCGUUUCCAAAUAUGAAAUCUACGGUUCCGUAAAUGUAGCAGUCGCGGUAAAACUGGCGUUGGGAAUGGACCAACAAUGUGUCUUGGUAUCCUUCAAUUGAGCAUUGGUAGAAGAUUGAGAGGUCCGAGGAUGACCGGAGUGCCACUGCCUGGCCCUUGGCUGGACCCGCCGUGUUCCGGAAUGUUAGGCCUUUGGCUAUGAAGUGAAGUCCCUCGAUACCUGGAUCACAUGCAAUGGAGCCAGUUGUUACAUAGCGAGGGAAAAAAUGAAAUAAAUUUUCAAAUGGUAACGCUUACUUCUUUUGCGGGAAAUAAAAGAUAACCGUUACGUUUUUAUUUCUAAUUUUUUUUUAGCUAGUGCUAAUCAUUGAUACCUAUCCCAAUGUAUGAUUUACCUUGAAAAUCCAACACGUACGGAAAUUUUCGAAUUUUUUAUUACUGACAUAAUAGAAAUUUGUUAUAUUGAAAAAUACUAUAAUUUUGUUUGAUCCAUCCAUGCAUUAAUAAAUAAAAUAAAAUAAAAUAAAAUUUAGGAGAAUUAAAUUAUUUACCGGCAGUGGCGGAAUUGUAAGUGGUGUAACCAUCUUUGACACUACGACCACCGGUGAUAAUCGUAGAUCCUAUCCCAUCUCCGACCAACAUAAUGUUAUCGUUAUUGCGACGCACGUUUAUGUUUUCUUCAUAUACUCCUCCCUUCACGUGUAUAACGAACCUCCCUGACGUCACCUUUCUCCUUCCCGCCACGUCAAUAGCCGCUUGCACCGUCGUGACGUGUCCCGAUCCGUCUUUAGCCACUACGAGGUUAGCUCGGACAUCACUCUCAGAAUGCAACUGUAGAAGUCUUCUCUCUUUCCCGGAAACCCACGUCGGAAAACCCUUCCGAUCAGCCGUGGCGGUGGUCAAGAGGGCUCCGUUGACGGUUAAGCUGUUGCUCAUGAGAUUGGAUAUUUCGGUCUUUGAAACGAUAGGUGUGAUGAAAUCUGAGACGUUGAAAUCUGUUGUGCCGUGUCGGCAGGUCUCGGUGUUUGUAAGUGCGGUGCUCAGCCACGUCUGAGCAUCGAAGUCGGUGCAGUACUGUUUUCCGGAACUAGCUUUUGGGGACAUGCACUUUAGCGUCCGGUUCAACUGCAUGAUAGUGUCUCCGUAGAGGUCGAUGCAGUCGGCUAAAACGGCUUGUUUCUGGCCAUCAGUACAGUUAAGGCUGGAACUAGCCAGCUCGUUCCGAGCAGAUAUCGCCCGAUGCAUGGCUGCUUCAACAAGCAUUACUCGAAAAUCGGAUAAUUGUGUGGGAGGUCGAAAACCGUUACGGUUUAUAAAGUAGCGUUUGCAUGGAUCAGGGUGAGGAGUUUUGUAGCACCACUGGUCAAUGCCGGAUACAGUGAUAAGAAGAUGGAGACAGAGUAGAAAUGGUAAUCGUAAACGUAGAAGAUAAGAGAUUUUGUGCAUCAUCUUAUCCUAGCUAAGGAAUUGAAUGUAAUUUAGAGUAAAAUGCUAAAGAUGUAUUGUGGUGGUAUUAACAUUAAAGCAAACAAAAUUUAUAUUGCAAGGUCCAUGACUCAUGAGUGAGAUCUACAUUUGCGUCAAUAUUGUUAUAGCUCGACGGCUGUUUUCUUAUUACGUGAACGUUUCUAUCACUAUUAAUUUUUGGGAUGGCCUUUUAAUAUACUGAGAGCAUCUGCAUCGCUAAAGUUUUUUUUUUUCCUUUCUUUUUUCUGAUUUAAAAAAGAAAAAACGCACCAAUCGCGGACCGCCACGUGUGGGUGGGACUCGCGAACAGUGCAAAAAACACACAUCAUACAUUUCUUAUUGUGCACACUUUGUAUACGGUUUAUUCCAAAAUCGUGGGUCCCCCCUUUAGAGACGCGCAGAGACCGCGAUGCAGAUGCUGAUAGAAAUACAAAUGCCGGAUCAUUCUUUUUAAUUAUUAUUACUUAUUAUUCUUAUAAUUUGACAAAAUAAAUACAAAACAUAUCAACAAAUGUUUGUCUAAGCCUUUCGUCAAAAAAAAAAAACAAAUGUUUGUCUGAAAUAUUACCACGACUCUAGUAGUGUAGGUUAGACAUAUCAACAACGUUUUCCUUUGUUUAGUAAUGGACUAAGGGUAGAGAAUAUUACAAAUGUGGUUUUAUCAACAUAUAAAAAUAAAACCAAGUGGUGGUAGUCUAAUGGUAAUUUUUUAGGGUUUAGUGUGUACCCACGUCAGUUAUGGAUUCGAUUUUCCUUCGGAACUAAAUUAUCGAUAUUUGGCCGGUCUGAGCUUGGGUUUCAGCCUAAGUGGUUUACAUUGUAGACCGUAACAGAUGAUCGGUCCACCUCCUGGAAUUAGUUGGUGGGUAUUCCAAAAUCGGGUGAAGCAGUAUAGUACGCUUUCGGACUAGUCCACUCUGUAGCAUUAAAUGUGUUAUUUAUGGGGCUGACCAGAUUAGCCGAUAGGGCUUAUAAAAAAACAGAUAAAAAUAAUAAAAUGAAUACAAUUUUUUUUUUUGAUAAGUGGAUAUUACUUUAACUCAAAAUAGACUUUUCAAAUAUAUAAUAGCAAAUAUUUCUAAAAUAAAAUAUUUUUGAAAUAUUGUUUUCCUUGGUUUAAGGUAGUAAAGAUUAAUCAUUGUUAGAUAUUAUGAUUUUUGUUAUUUAAAAAAAAUCAUUAUAAUUUUAAAAGUUAACAUCGACAAAUAUUUAAAUAUUUAGCAUAUAGAGGUAUAGUAUUACAAUAUUAAAUUAUAUCUAUUUAAUUUAUACUAUCUAUAAAUCCAAUGAAUCAUCUAUUGUUUAAAUCUAAUUAUUGAUACCUAAUAAAAAAUUUUGGUAAGCCCAAAAUUUAAAUGAUAAGAUUAUAUAUUAAAUGUAACAUGACUUUUUACGAAUAAGAUCCAUUUUUUAAAAAAAUUACGCAUGAAUCAAUGUUGUUACUUCUGUUUUAAUAUAUAAAAUUAUCAAAUAAAACUGGGGCCAAAUAUCUUCCUCGAACCGGGGGUCUCUCUCAUUGUGGUAUGAACUCUAAACACCCUGCCGUUUUCAUAUCUAUAAAACAACACGUAUUUCACAAUAACACAGAGCUUCUGUCCCCUACGGCAAAACCUUGAAGUCCCUCCUCCUCCGUCACAAGCCGCACACAAAGUAGCAAGAGAAUGUGGAAGCUGACGUCACGAUUCCGGCCGCAUAUCAACUCGAACUCAUGGUUGAUCCGGCACUUCAGCAGUGGAGAAGCCACGGGUCUCUACGGCUUCGACCAUCUUAAAACAGCCAAAGGAUUUCAACGUUUCGUCGCUGAUGCCAUUGAAAGGUUUGAUUUUUAUGUCACUAGAGACAGUGUUGUUAUGUUAUUUUGGUUAUUGAAGAAAUCUUCUUUCUUCUCAGGUCUGGGGAGUUAGUGAGCUACAUAUCAGGAAUGCCUUCUUCCCCAGAGAUUAUUAAAGCCAUGGAUGAGAUUUCAGACACGGUAGGUUUCUUGUUUAUAAGCUCUUUUGUUUCUUGUAGUGAUUGAUGUCUUCUGAAUCUCUGUAGGUUUGCUGUGUUGUUGACUCUGCUGAACUCUGUAGACAAACCCAUCCUGACAGGUCUUUUUAUUCUCUCUAUUUCUCAAUGCUUGGUUUGGUUAUGUUCUAUUGAUUAAAACGGUUUACUUUCCUCCCAUCUUAUAGGGAAUUUGUUGAGGCAGCUCAUAAAGCAGCAAUUGAUAUGAAUGACUAUCUACAUGUGAGGUGACCAAUGAUUUUGCUCAUUGACCAUUCUUCUUAUUAAGACAUGACUGAACUUUCCUUUUUUUUUUUUUUUACCAUUGUUCUUGUUAAGACAUGAGUAUGUAGGCUGUCUGAAAAUCUCUGCAAUUUUAUUCUUAAAAAUAGCUUUACUUUUUUCAUGUGGCUUUUUCUUUUGAUUUUACAGCAACUUAACACAAAUCACACUCUGUAUGCUGCGGUGAGAAAAGCAGAGCAAGAUUCCAAUCUGCUUACAGAAGAAGCAAGUAGGACAGCUCAUCACCUCCGUAUGGACUUUGAACGGGGUGGCAUUCAUCUUGACCCUGGUUUGUGUUAUCUACAUUACCGUGAUUUUUUUAACCCUUUUAUGAUGUGUCUUUUUUGUAAUUUAUUAUAUUCCUUUCGCAGAGAAGCUAGAAAAAGUGAAUAACUUAACAACCAACAUUUUUCAGCUAUGCAGCGAGUGAGUACCCGCCAUGAUUACACAUUUAUCGAUUCUUUGUGCUGUUAGUAGUACUAACAUCCUUAAUGAUCUAUAUAUUCAGGUUCAGCGAAAACAUUGCUGAUGAUCCAGGACACGUUGAUAUAUUUCCAGUGUCACGCAUCCCUCGACACCUGCAUCAUCUUCUCACCCCUGUCUACAGAUUCAGUUCAGGGGGUCUAAGAGGGUCUAAAAGAGCAGCUCACGCUUCGAAACAGAAGGGAUUUCGGAUACCUACUGAUCAACGAACCCUUUCUUCCAUUUUGCAAUGGACAUCAGACGAAGAGGUUUCUACUACUUUAACCUUAACUAAUAAUACAAGUGGGUAAAAAAAGGGAAAUGUCAUUUUUAAUACUUUUUUUUUAUUUAUUUUUUCCAGGUUAGGAAAAUGGUGUAUGUUGAAGGGAACUCUGUUCCUCAGGCGAAUCACGGUGUUCUUGAGAAGCUUAUUGCUUCACGCCAUGAGCUUGCCCAGGUUAGUUGCUUAUUUUUAUCUGUGGCUAUAUUUUACUUAUUGUUAACUUUAUGUUUUUGGUGGUUGAUGUCAGAUGAUGGGGUGUAAUUCUUACGCUGACUUCAUGGUGGAGCCAAACUUAGCAAAAUCGCCAAAGGUUGUGACAUCGUUCCUACAAGAACUGAGCAGGACAGUCAAACCAAAGGCGGACCAAGUAAGCUGACCUGACCUUCACACAAAAUGCUCUUGUUGUGGAAACUAAAGGUUCUAAUAAUAAUGUUCCAAUCUCCCCGUAGGAGUUUAUUGCCAUUAGAGACUUUAAAAGAGAGAAAUGUGGUGAUAAAUCAGCAGAACUAGAGCCAUGGGAUGAAACUUAUUAUACUUCAAUGAUGAAAUCCUCUGUCAAUGAUGUGGACACAUCUGUAAGUUGUUUCUCCUAUUUGAUUUCCCUCUAGUGUGCUGCAGUCUCUUAUCAUGCUGUGUGGAAUACUCUUUUACAGGUUGUAGCAUCAUAUUUUCCUCUGCCUCAGUGUAUUGAAGGCCUAAAAGUGCUUGUUGAAUCAUUAUUCGGUGCAACAUUCCAUACCGUUCCUCUGGCUCCAGGCGAAUCCUGGCACCCAGAUGUGAUUAAAAUGUCUCUUCAUCACCCAGACGAGGUAUGUUGUUUACACAACUAAGACAAUCCUUACAUACAUCUUGUUACAAAUCUUGUCAAUUGUUGUCUACUUCAGGGUGAUCUAGGGUAUCUAUACCUUGACUUGUAUUCAAGAAAAGGCAAGUACCCUGGCUGUGCUAGCUUCGCAAUCAAAGGAGGACGCAAGAUCUCUGAUACAGAAUACCAACUUCCUGUAUGUAGCUUUGAUCAAAUUUCAUUUUUUAAACCAUAUUCUUACACUCUAGCGCGCUGAUCUGAUUCUAUUGCAGGUUUUGGCUCUGGUUUGCAAUUUUUCUCGAGCUAGUGAUUCUUCAGUGGUGAAGCUUAAUCACUCUGAAGUUGAAGUUUUGUUCCACGAGUUCGGACAUGCUCUGCAUUCUCUGCUCUCACGAACGGUGCUGCACAAAAACUCAUCAGUACAAGAAAGCUAAUUACGAUCUUUCUUUCCUGAUUUGCUCUCUGCAUGUUCUGGAUGUUUUGCAGGAUUACCAACACUUUUCCGGUACUCGGGUGGCUCUUGACUUGGCAGAAAUGCCUUCAAAUUUAUUUGAGUGAGUAUAAUAACUCUCAACUAUAUAAUUCUCUUGUGUUGUCAAAAAAACCUUCUAAUGAAUGUCUUACCUCAGGUACUACGCAUGGGACUAUCGCCUCCUGAAGAGGUUUGCUCGGCAUCACUCAACCGGUGAGACUAUCCCCGAGAAGUUGGUGAAGUCAUUACAAGGUGCCAGGAACAUGUUUGCAGCAACCGAAAUGCAACGCCAGGUCUGAUUAUAUUCGGUUCAACUCUCAAAUAUGUAUAUCAAUGUUCAAGAAAUCGUUAGGCAGUAAUUAGAUGCUUUAUAUAGGAUUAUUGAUUAGGUGGGUGCAUAGACCGAUUUUUUAACUCCUAGACUGAUUUUUUGUAAAAUCUUUCUAGAAAAACCGUUUCGCUUAGUAUCAACAUCAAUUUUGAUUUUUCUGGUAGGUGUUUUAUGCGUUGAUCGACCAAAUGCUAUUCGGAGAACAACCAGCGACACCAAGAGACGUGAGUAAACUCGUGGCUGAACUGAAACGGGAACACACUAGCUGGAACCAUGUAGAAGGAACACAUUGGCAUAUACGAUUCAGUCACUUACUGAACUACGGAGCAGGUCUCUCUCUCUCUCUCUCUAACAUAAAAUAAAAUGCAUCAUUCCAAGUGUUCUUUUCUAUUUCCUGUAACGUUUGUGUCCUAUGUGUGCAGGGUACUAUAGUUACAUAUACGCCAAGUGCUUUGCGUCGACCAUAUGGCAAUCAGUAUGCGAAGAGGAUCCGCUUUCGUUGAGCACGGGGACGCUGCUGAGAGAGAAGUUCUUCAAACAUGGAGGAGCUAAAGAUCCAGGGGAGCUUCUCAAGGAUCUUGCGGGGAAAGAGAUCAUUAGUGUUCAUGGUGAAGGCAUAGUCCCUGCAACCACAUGCCUUUUAAAUGAGCUGACACUGUGAUAGAAGGUGGAAAAGUAUGUUUUGUAACAAAACAAAAGAACUUUUUGACUUCAGCUCAUAACGAGUGUGUUUCUAGUAAAAUUCAAUUCGGCUAAAUCGGUCCGAACCAAACGAACAAAACCUGAACCAAGAGAAUUUUUUAUUUGGUUUGGAAAUGCUAUACCUUUUGGGUUUUGUUUUAUUGAUUAUUUGUUUCCUUUUGAGUUUACCAAUUCAAUACUCGGCAUAUAUAAGUGAAAUUGAGAAUCGAACCAAAAUAAAACACAAAAAAAAAAAUGAAUUAAUACUUGAUAUUGAUUUGAGCUCUAAAAUAUUUGAACGAUCAUGUACGUCUGUAUUUCGGAUGUUGGAUAUUAUCGGAACUUGAACCUAAGUACCUAACCAUACCCAAAAAACUAAAAAACAACAAACAAAUUUCUUAAGACCCAAAAAUCCAAAUUAGUACAUCAGAAAUAAAUAUUCAAAACCUAAAUAAGUAUUUCGAACAUUCAAUUUUUAUAGUUAUUUUGUUCUAACUCAUAAAAAAAAUACAUGAAUAGAAUAUGAAUGGAGUAUUGUUAGGUGACUGAAAAUGAAUCUUACAUAGAGUUAUAAAAUAUACUUAAAUAUGAAAUAUUAUUAACCAAACCUGAUCAGAAUAUAUAAAACUCGAAGAUGGCCUACGAAGUCACACCAGAAAAAUCCUAGCAUGUUCAACAUCCAGUAGAAACUAAAAAAAGAACAGACCGGAGAGGCCUAUUCAAAAUCGAGUAAAAUCCGAAGAACUGAACUGAACCACCAUCACACAUUUAUGCAAAGCCUCAAAUGACGUGUAGUGUUUCCUCGUGAAACGAAAACGAAAUGUAGUCUUGAAGAAACGGCGCGCAUUGUGACUUUGAACUGGUUUAUGACAACACGACGCCGUGUUGGAGUUAGGCUGAAAAACAAUAUCCUCCUCCUCAACUAUCCGACCACAAAACAAAUCAACUGACAAAAGAAAAUGGCGCUACAAAUCCACACUUCGUGUUCCUUCUCCGCGAGACCCUAUCAUCUUCACCAUCUCGUCACGAGCAUAAACCCUAGAUUCUCAAUCAAAUGUCAGAAUUCACAAAUCGAAACCGAGACGACAGAGGAUCCGUCACAACCCAGGAAACCGAGCUCCUCCGGGGUUGGAUUCGGGUCGCCGGCUCCUUCAUCUUCUCCGGCUAAGAAAGGGAAAGGGAAGAAAGAGGUGAUCAGGCGCUCUCCCGUGGAGAAACCGGUGUUCAUCAGCGAAGAAGGUGCGGCCAAGGCGGAGGAGCUGAGACGGAACGAGAAUGCUUUUCUUCUUGCUUGGCUUGGCCUUGGUGGCGUUAUCCUCGUCCAAGGGCUUCUUCUUGCUGCUUCAGGUACCUCUUGAAGAAUGCAUCAGUCUUGUUUUGGUUAGAUUGGUAUAGAAAUGUUAGGCAAGAACAAUCAAAUCAUUAGGGGUAAAAUCAUAUAAGAGUGAAGUUUGGUCUGAAUUCGACAAGCUUAUGUUUGUUUGUCUUAGUUUUUUGUCUUAUCACUCUAUGAGAUGGUGUUGUGUUUCCCUGUAAAUAUAGUUGUAACUAUGUGAUUCUUCAGUGGCUUAUACAUGAGUAUAAAUAUUUACGAAAUAUCUAAAUCAUAAUAAUUGAUUAGUAUUUUGUUUUCAAUUUAUAUAAGUUUUAAAUCGUUUUAUAACAUCUCUUGGCGUUCUUUGUUUUUAUAUCACGUUUCUGCAGGCUUCCUUCCAGAAGAGUUGGAUAAGUUGUUUGUGAAGUAUGUGUAUCCGGUGUUUACUCCUUCGGUUGGAUUAUUUGUGGCUGGAACAACUGCAUAUGGAGUUCUUAAGUACUUACAAAAUGAGAAACUCAAGGAUCAAAAGUGAUUUGUACCUAUGGAUAUUUUGUGGUAGCCUGUGAUUGUGAGAGGUUGGUGUUUAAUGGUUUAGGGUAAGUGUGUUUGCAAGUGGAGUGGAUAUACUCUAGUCAGAAGAGUUUGUGUAUUGAUCUGAUCUUUGUCCUUGUAUAUGCAUGCAAGAGAUGGUUAUGUAAAAAUAAAAAUAUGUUGGAAGAUAUAUUCAGGUUCUAUUAUCAUUUUAUCCUAAACAAAAAUCAGAGUCGAGCUCUGUAAUGUCUUGUGCCAUAAACAUAGAACCUGUUUAUCAUCUAUCAUCGUAUAGUUACGUUAACUGAUACGAUAAUAGAACCUGAAUAUCGUAUAGUUACGUUAACUGAUAUCAGAAGAAACUGUGAAAACGGGCUAAACACCCAGAGGCUUGCCCAGUCGUUUUACAAACAGAUCCGGUCUUAGAGAAAACUCUCAACUUAGCAAAGCUAAAAACAUUGAAUUUUAUUUAUCAUUUUAACAUUUAGUUUUCAAAAGUUGUUCAUUUUAAUCAUCAUAUUACGUUGACUAAACCAUUUUGGAUACACUAAAAAUCAACCUAUUGUAAAAUGAAGCGCAUCCCCUCAACAUUUUUGCAACCACCUGCCCCUAAGGCCAACAUUAUCCGCGAGUCGUUAAUAAUUGGUCCUUAAAAUUUUUUUUAUCCGAUUUAAAAAAAAAAAAAAUUAAAAACGAACCAAUCGCGGGCCAUCACAUUUCAGUGGGGUCCGCGAACAGUACAGGGACCAAAUCAAAAUGUCUCUUAGUUAGAGAUUUUUUCCCUCGAUUCUAGUGUUUUUGUGGACUCCCUCCUCUUAAUGACCAAACUAAAGACUGCAAUAAUGUUUGUCCUACCACCCAGAGCAUGCUGAUCUCACACACUGAAACAAAUGAUAUAUGCAAACUUAAAUCAGAUAUUUUAAAAUAUAAAUACAAAUUAUAUUAACAUUUCAAUUGAUUAUUUAAAAGUUAAAAUUCGUGAUAACUCUUCUAAAAGUUAAAAUUAAAAAUUUUGUUUUAAUCUUUAACAAAUAUUGAUACAGAUUUUUACUUUUUUAUAGAAAUGUAUCUAAUUAAAUACUAAUAUAAUUUAUGACAGGGACUGAGUAUCUAAAUCAAACAUUAUUGUCCAACAAAAACCACAGAGAAUAUGCACUGGACUAAAUAUGGGCUCAGGUAAAAUCUAAAAGCCCAUUAAGAUGUAGCAAAAGAAAAACCUAGUUUAGCUUCCGUGUCUCUUACUUUAUAAGCUAACAUCACCCGUCUCCUACAAAAUUCGUCGCCCAGUUUCUUCAUCAACUCAGCGGCUCCUAUCUUCUUUGUUCUCUGGUAAAACCUCAUUUAAGGAUCUAUACAGUCUUAAUCUCUGUAUGCUCGUUUUGAAUUCGAACUGUUCUCUAGAAAUGGUUUCUUAAGCUUAGUUUCCUAUAUAUAUUAUGGUUUCGAAUUGAUAUACAAUAAUCUUGUUUUGUUUUGGAUGUAUGAUGUUUAGCUUAAGGAACUUGAAAAGAAAGGUAGUAGAAAGCUAUGGCUUACCCACCACCAAUGAAGCAAGGAAAGACUGGAUUUGAGGAGCCACAAGAGCAGAUUCACAAGAUCAGAAUCACUCUCUCCUCAAAGAACGUCAAAAACCUUGAGAAGGGUGAGAUUCAUUUUCUUGAUUUAGCCUUCAAGUUUGGUUCUUUACUUUAGAUCUUUUAAUGGGUUUAUCCGCAAUAUGUAUAUAUAGCGUACUGGAACUUGGGUUUAGUCUUUAGUAUUACACUGAAACCUGAAAUGGCUGGUCGUUUACUUAAGGAUGUGUUGUGUUUUUGAUGGUUAGUGUGCACUGACUUGGUCCGUGGAGCUAAAGACAAGAGACUGAGAGUGAAAGGACCAGUGAGGAUGCCAACUAAAGUUCUCAAGAUUACCACAAGGAAAGCUCCUUGUGGUGAAGGUCAGUAAUCAAAUCUCCCUUCUCUUUUUUUUGAGGAAUUUCACAUCUUGUUGUGUAUAUGUUAGGUAGAUUGUCUAUGUGAUUCAGAACCUACUUUGCUUUGAGUUUAUUAUCAACUAGAAAUGCAGAACUUAAGAUAGUAAAAGGAAGAACCUACAUGUUUGUCUAAGUUUUUUUUGUUUUGUGAAUUGUAGGAACCAACACGUGGGACAGGUUUGAGCUCCGUGUACACAAGCGUGUGAUCGAUCUCUUCAGCUCUCCUGAUGUUGUGAAGCAGAUCACUUCCAUCACCAUUGAGCCUGGUGUUGAGGUCGAGGUCACCAUCGCUGAUUCUUAGAUUCAUGCGCUUUAAUUUACAAUCUUGUCUUUGAAUUCCAUCGACUUCUCUCUUUUUUGUUUUACAAGGUUCAGACUUGGUACUUUUUUUCCUAUAUGUUAUCCUUUUGAAUUUGUUAUUGUUAAAACGUUUAAUUUUCUAGUUUUGUUUUGCUAAAGCAUUGAGCCCGUACCACACUAUUUAGAUUUUAGACAAAUGAGGUAUAACUUUAAUUCAUUCGUAGGGUUAGGGAAAUGCAAUCCGUUAUUCGUAGGGUAUGGAUUUGGAGCUUGAAUUUUUCUAGGUCUAAUAUAACAAUUUUCUGAAGAUUAAAAGUUGAUUACAAAAAAGAAAGUUAUUAUUAUUGUUAUAAAUAAUAAUCCUUAGAAACUCAACAUGAGAAAUUGAUGGAAAAUGGUGCUUUUAUAUCGUAAUCUCGCAUCUCAAUAGAAAAGUAAAAUUAUACUACUAUUUCAUGGUCAAAAGGAGUUUGUCUUUUUUGCCGACUCAUCAAAAAGGAUUGAAUAAUCUUUUUUUGAUUUCCCAUUAGGAUUGGAUCAAUCAGACAUCAAAAUAUCUUCAAUAAUGGUGACGUGGACAUUAUUAUGGCUAAUAAACCGGUCAGCGAUCGUAGCCGUCCAUUAUUUCUUAAACCGCUUGAUCGAACAGCCGCAAAACAACGUAGAUCCUCCGUAGCAAGAACGGACACGAUAUAAUAAAUAAAUAAAUAAAUAAAAAAAAGCGAAUCGUAUAAUAAACACACGAGAAUCGGUCUAAAAGGUUGAAAACCUGAGCUGCUUCUUCUUCUCAUCGAUCAAAAUGGGGAAUACGAAUUGCAUCAUCGGAGGUUGCAUAGAUCAAGCGAGCGUUGGUGUGGUUGAACGCUGGGGUCGAUUCGAGCACAUAGCCGAGCCUGGUUGCCACUUCUUCAACCCUCUCGCGGGUCAGUGGCUCGCCGGAGUCCUCUCCACCAGGAUCAACUCUCUCGAGGUCAAAAUCGAGACCAAAACCAAGGUUCGAAAUUUCGAUAUCCUCCCCCACUGCGAUCCUCGCAAAGGAGAUCUUGGAAUGAAUUAGGUUAAUCUGUUUUGGUUUUGCAGGAUAAUGUGUUUGUGCAGCUGAUUUGCUCGAUUCAGUAUCGUGUGGUGAAAACUAACGCUGAUGAUGCGUUUUACGAGCUUCAGAACCCUAGAGAGCAGAUCCAAGCUUACGUUUUUGAUGGUAGCUUUCUCUCUUGAUGUUGUUUUUAAACUCUUUGUGAUCUUUAUUUGAUUCUUGGUUUGUAUGUUUGUUUCCAUAUCAUAGUGGUUAGAGCUUUGGUUCCGAUGAUGACGCUGGACGCUCUUUUUGAACAAAAGGGAGAAGUAGCUAAGUCUGUUCUUGAAGAACUCGAGAAGGUAUAUAUAUAAUAACAUGCUUCUCGUCUUCUUUAGAGUACCGAUUCUUGUUAACUGUUAUCAUGUGUAGAUGUGUUUUGGAUUGCAAUGAGAACUUAUAAUAUUAUCGCAGGCUAUGUAAUUAGUGUGCUUUCAGGAACUAGUAAUGGCAAGUUCUGUUAUGUUUAUGGAUCAUGAUUGUAAUUGUUUCUUCAGGUGAUGGGGGCUUAUGGAUACAGCAUUGAGCACAUCCUUAUGGUUGACAUCAUCCCUGAUCCUUCUGUACGUAAGGCCAUGAACGAAAUCAAUGCAGGUAAACUUCGUGAUCUAUUACUGGGGAAUUAUUAGUGUCUCAUGCUCUUCAUGGUUAUAAGAUUCUUACAAAUUGAAGCAUAUAAUGUUUUAUAUUUUUAUGUUAAAUUUUACACUUUUAAUGGUGAUGGUUCUAUUUCUCAUUUGUGUCUCAAAACCAAAUUAUUUUAAUGCAGCACAAAGGCUACAGCUCGCUAGUGUUUACAAAGGAGAAGCUGAGAAGAUUCUCCAAGUGAAAAGAGCCGAAGCAGAGGCGGAAGCCAAGUACUUAGGCGGUGUGGGUGUUGCUAGACAGAGGCAAGCAAUCACAGACGGGUUGAGGGAGAACAUAAUGAACUUCUCUAGCAAAGUAGAAGGCACUUCGUCCAAAGAUAUCAUGGACUUGAUCAUGAUCACACAGUACUUUGACACCAUGAGAGACCUUGGAAGCUCGUCUAAGAACACAACCGUGUUUCUGCCUCACGGUCCGGGACACGUGAGGGAUAUCAGCGACCAGAUUCGUAACGGUUUGAUGGAGGCGUCCAGUGCUCGUGUCAGCGACGGAGUCUAAAGAGAGAUUCACUUGGGAUUGUGAGUUGGGUUUGCUGGUUUUGCUAUUUUUAUUAUGGUUUAAAUUACAUUUUAGCACUUGGGUGUGUGUUGAGUUUAUUUGGAUGUUGCUUCCUUUUAUUGUUUAUGGUUUUAUUGGUGAUAGUUGUAUUAGUGAUAUAAAUAAUAACCCAAAGUACUUUGAGCUCUUAUUGUAAUAUUCUGAUUUCUUAAAAACGGUGAUGCAUAAAGAGAGCUUAUAAACUGUGAAUACAAUUUGUUCUUUGAAGAAUAGAUCUAUACUCGGUUUAGGACUAGGGUUUCUUUCUUUGGAUACCUAUAGUGAUCUACAAGAAAAAAGGACAAAAAUGUGUGAGAACAUUAGAUGAUUGAAGUCAAUUGGGUGAAACAUUUAAGUAGUGAGGUUUUUACGACUAACAUUCUUAUGCAGGUUUUAUCAUAUGGCUAAUAAUGGAGACAAUUAUAACAACAACCACCAUGGAAAGAACAAUAACCCAUUGUUCCAAAUUUCCAAAUUCAAACUUUAGUGGAAGGGAGGGAUGUAACGUUUGUUGAAGAUUGAAUUAAAUAACAAUCCAUGAGAAGUUGGAUCGAGUUUAAGAAGAUAUACAACAAAGUCAAUCAGAAAACUGGGUUAAUCACUGAUGGGAAGCACCAAGGAGACUUCCACGUAAAGGAAUAUGAUCCACACAAUCAUGUUUUUAAUAUAGAAACCCUCUGUCCUUCUCGAAAGGUUUGGGUGUCCAAGUUUCAUUAUUGACAAACGUAGCACGAGUAUUGAUUUGACUUGAGUUAACAAAGACCCAUGUGUCUUAAAAGACUUGGGGCUUAGGAAGACUUACUCGCUCCUUUACGUAUAGUUUUAUUACAAAAUAAAUGUUGUUAUCGAUUUUCAAUGCAAAAUUUAUUAAUUUUAUGCAAAAUUUAUUUUUCUGUUGGUUAAAAUAUGGUUAGGUGUAUAGAUAAUAGUGUUUUUUAUAGGAAAUGUACAAAAUUAAUUGUUUCUUUAAUCCGUGUGUCGAAACCUAAAACGACAUUUAUAAUGAAACAGAGAGAGUAUUAGACCAUGUCCAUCGCAGAAUUGAAGAGGGGUUCUUUACUCUUUAAAAUAAUGAAAAAAUUAAGAAAAAGAAGAGAGAAGGAAAAAACAGGUUCUAAAAUAGAUGAUUUAAGAACCGGUAUUAACCCUUCACAGCCACUUGUCUUUUAGUUAUUGGUUAAGUUUAUUAAAGUUUUAUUGUUUAAUUUAGCUAUAUUAGAAAUAUUUAGAUUAAACUGUUAAGAACUUCAAAAUAGAUUUCAACCGAUGAAGUUGCUCUAGAUGGAGUUGCUCUUAGAGCAUGAUUAUUGGGGGUUCUUAGAGUGGGGUUCUUACCAGAAUAUAAGAAUCUGUCUCUUAACUUUUAACUAAAAAAAGUUAAGAACCGGCUCUUAAAACUCUUAUUUAAGAACUGUUUUUUAGCUUUUUUAGUUAAAAGUUAAUAGACGGAUUUUUAUAUUCCGAUAAGAAUCUCACCCUAAGAACCCCAGAGAUCAUUCUCUUAGUUAUCAACUUAGCUGGCAAGGAGUUUCUUCUUUGGUAAUAGUUCACUUGUUUAAAUUAGUCAUUUAUGCAACUAAAGUUUCAACUACUUUAUUCAGCAGUCGUUGUCAACUUCUACUUGUCUAAGAAGUAUCGUCUUCUAUUUAAAUGUCUCUCAAAGCCAUCUCUUUCGCACAAACAACAACUUUUCUUCUUCUUUUCUCUCUCUCCUCUCUCCACUCUCUCUCUCUCUCACUGCAAAGAUGAUAGAUUCUACCUUGGAGUUCGUCAACAAAACCACUUCUAAUUCUUUAUUCAUGUUCCUCUUCUGUAACUUGAUCAUCAUCUUAAUCCUCUUGGGAAAUUCUAAACCCGGUUCGGAAGAUAAAUCAAAUUCCGGUUCGAAGGAACCCAUGUUCAUACCUGAAUCGGUUCUCUCUUCCAAAUCCAUGUUGUUAUAUGAGUCGACGACUCUCAAUUCAAAGCCCGGUUUAAAGAAACCCGUGUCGAUACCUGAAUCAGUUCUUUCUUCCAAACCCGUGUUAGUAUCAGAAUCGGUUCUCUCUUCUAAACCCGGUUUUGAGAAAUCCGAGCUGAUCUCUGAGUCUACUCUCCCGCUAAAUACCGGUUUACAAGAACCGGGAGUGAUAUCUAAGUCGGUUCUUCUCUCCUCCAAACCUGCCGGUUCUGAUCAAUCGUUGACUUCCAAAUCCGGUUUGAAUUUAAUAUCUUCUGGGUUGAAAACCGGUUCAGACUGUUCAGAGAAGGACAAAAGAGGGAGAAUGAGGAAGAAACAGAGCUUGGAAGUAGAGAAUGAGAGCUUGGAAGUGGAGUGUGUGCUUCGAAGACGAGUUGAAGAAUUUAUUCGUAAAGUUAAUACUCAAUGGAAAUCAGAGAACACCAACAGAGAUUAUCUCUUAUACUAAUCAGAGUUUUGUUUUGUAAUUACCAAAUGCUCUAUAAAAAACCUAUGAAUGGGAAGCAACAAGUCAAAAAAUUAGAGUGACUAAGUGAAUUCAUAACUGUAAUUCUCUUCUUUUAAAAAAACUCAAACUAGCUAAAUUCUGUAUCCAAACCACAUCAUACUCCUGAUAUUUCAAAAUUUAAAAUUUAUGUGUAUUUUUUUGUAAGUAACAUGUUUCAAUAAUUUAAAACCAAUAAUUAAAUUUAAAAAUAAUAAUGUCUCAUUGUUAACUAAUAAAAAUAUGUAAAACAAUAAUAUAUUUUUAAUAUUUUUUUCACAAAAAGGUUUUAAAUUGAAGAAAUUUCAAGUUAUAAUUUAUGAUUGUUAAUAUUAAAAAUUUGCGAUGUAACAAAAUUAAAAGAAAGUUACAAUCCCCACUACAUGCAAAGCUAAAAACUUGCUAUGGAUUAUGAUAUUAAUGAUAGAGUUGGACACAAGGCAAGGACCCGCUAAUUUUAGGAUAUUAGAUAUUUGGCUUGUUCAAAUAGUUAAACUUGUUAUUUACAUUUGAUCCAUUUAAAAUGAGUAAUUUAUAUAUCAAGUAUUUGUCUAAAUUUUGAUUUUUUUCAAGUUACUUGUUCCGCUACUUGGCCGAUUUUAUUAUUCAAGUAGAAAAUACUUAAUUAUUUGAAUUCAAAAUGCUUAAAACUAAUUUUCUUGUAAUAAAAUAGAUUUCAGGUUGAAAAUAGUUUAUUAGACUUUAAUAUUUUAAUAAAAAUUCAAUGUAAUUUCAAUUUUAAUUACAAAUUUCUGUUGAGUUUUGUUUAUGGAAACACAAAUGUCAACAUUUAGAGUUUUGUUUAUAAAGACAUAAAUGUUCGCAACAUCUAUUUAAAUAUUAAGUAUAUUUAUUUAUAUCAUAAUAAGUACUAAGUAAACGGAUUAAGUAAUUACAAAAAUAAUGAGAGUUAAUGUUUGAUUUGUACUUGUAAAUAUUUGUUAUCUGAUUUAACAAUAGCAGAUGCUUACUUUUUCAAACCGAGUAUGGAGCAAAUAGUAGAUACAUGCUGAGUACCAAAUAGUUAUUCACAGCCCGAAUAAAAGAUAUGAAAAGGGCUAUUAUCAAGUUGACAAAUUCAUGAAGGUUGCUUAGUUGAACCAAAUCAACAAUAAUAUACGUGUUUGAUGUAAGAAAUUCAAAUUAAUUAAAUUUUUAUCUAUCGAAACUAGAUUAAAGCAUAUCAGUUUUUUUGGGGUAAACUAUCGGGUUUAAAUUUGAAAUUGUGUAAAGAAAUAUUUUGCUAUAGAACAAAGUUUUAAAGGAGAAAGGCAAAAUGACGUUGAUGCCAACACAUAGAAUCAAGGCAGAAAGCAUAUCAUAUAUUUCCUGAUCCGAUUCAAAAAGGAUUUGAGUGAACAAAGUGCAGCCAUAGUGUUAUCCAAUAAAAUAAAAUCAGACUAUGCUUAGGCUCAUACAUACAACAAAAAAAAUGGAUUAGAAAAAUAAAAAAAAAGCAUUAUCUAUGAGUCGCAAUAAAUUUGGACUGAUGUAGUUUAGUUUGGUUGGCGGAAACUGCAAUUUAUAUUAAGGUUUGUUAGAUAGAGAAGGGAAAAAGCAUCUUUCUACUUCAUCAAAUGUCAAUAAAAAAGAAGCAAAGUUAACAGAUGAAUCAAUCCGAAAAAUAAGAUAUGAUUUCCUAGACCAGAUUGAUUUAUACAGAUCAUAUUAAAACGCUUGACAACUAAAGACAGUAUCCAACUUUACAAUUGUUUACUUGAAAAUUGAUACUUCUGUAAAUUAAUCCGACUCAUCAUUGUCUAAACUAUACAUAUUUGAGCUUAAUCAACUUUUGGUAAAGCAACAUACAAAAUAUAUUUAUUCACUUGUUUAGCAAAACAAAUAUGAGUGCACCUCUUAACUUAUUUUGGAUAUAUAGAUCACAAGUCUAGAGUAUACAUGCAUAUUUUAGCAAAAGAGAUUUUUGGUUUUGAUUCUGGUUCGGUUAUUAAGGCUAACUGACAAACAACAUUUCAAAAUCAUUUCAGUUAUUAGUUCGGUUCGGCUGAACUAAUCGCCUAUCCACUCUUUACAUUAAUGGGUUCUUUAGUGCCUUGAGUCUCGAAUUUUGCUCGUUCACCAAACUAUAAACUUUAUUUUGUUCACCCAAAUUAUAAACUCAAAUGAGAAAAAUACAUGUUUAUAAAUCAGUUAGUUAUAAUGCAGACAUGAUUCUUUAAGACAAACUAAUAAAAGUCACCUGAUUGUCAAAAUGAAAGUCAUUAAAGAGUGAACUGAAUGACAGAGAGCACACAUAAGUUUCGCAAUUCUACAACCACCACUUGGGGUAACCAAGUCAAAAGAACCCUAAAGAUAUUACAUAUCCUCUAAUAAACCCUAACUCUUUAGUGAGAGAUAUCUCUGUUUAAAUAAGACAACUAAAAUCUUCAAGAAAAAUAAAAACCCAUUAGACUCUAAAGACCUCAAGAUCACGAUCGAUGUUGUUCGGAUUCACUCACUCAAUAACCAUCAACUUGGAACCUCGGUGUCAGAUUCAGUAUGGACUCCAAACUCUUCACCAUCUUCACCUUCUAAGUUCUCCUCAUCUUCUUCGUCAUCCUCUCCUGGGAGAGAAGAGAAGAGAUCCCUUAUAUGGUCAGCCGUGUUGUUUCUGUAGUACCCUUGGGCUGCGUUAGUGCUCGGCUCAUGCGAAAACGACAUAGGUGGUGCGGACACGGGUGGUGGCUGAAUAACAACAGGCUUGUUGAGCCCGUUGUAUCUAGCCUUUGGAUCUUCCGCCGAGCCACCACCGAAUGAGAUGUUAGAAGCUUGUGUUGUAGUCGGAAUCCCGAGCCUUUCUCCUCUUUGUUUCUUCAUCUGCUGCUGUUGCUGCGAUUCCUCUUGACCCCCCGCAACAAAAGUCCCUACCAUUACCUGAAAUAAACAGAAAAUGCUUUAAAAAUAUAGUCCAUUAGAAGGAUCAAGAGUCCCUCAUGUUCUAUAAGUUUACCUGAACAGGACCAGCGGCUAUAAAGAGACCAGCGAGACCACCACCAAAGACACGACCAUCAGGUCCAGCGAGAGACACACUCAUCCCUCCAGCUCUGCUUCGGGUUCCUCCACUCUCGCUUGGUAUAAACGAACCCGUCAAAGAAAGAAUCUCAAAAUGUCCCUGAUCCAACACAAAUUGUUAUAAUUUAGUUUAAAAAAGAAAAAAUAUUUAAAAUGAAUCUAAAAGAGAGAAAAAGAGAGAGCAGACCUCAUAAGUGAGAGUACCACCAGAAGUGGUAGAUUGACGAAGUGUAACAUUUGAAAUGGGACCGUUUGCGGAAAGAAUGCAGAUAGCACGAGAGCCUUCUUGUUGAGAAAAAGUCAUUAUCUUCAUCGUCACAUCCUAGUAUCAACCCAUUGUAACCAGAAUAAAAUAAAAAAAAGAUUCACAAAUCUUAGUGAAUCAACAUCACAGUGAUAAUAUUUUCAUAUUAAGGUCGGAAAAUUUAUAUUUUUCCUAACAAACAUUCAGUAAAAAAUCAUAAUACAUACCUCGCCGGCAUUUACUGUGAGCACAUAAGGCGUAAAACUUGCACUAGUAACAACAUCUGCUGCAGUUCCUACAACUACAAAACAAAUCAAGAAUAACAAUUAAGGUAUGAAUUCGAAAUCUAACCAAACAGUUAAAACCCUUAAGCAACUAGAUUAAGUUCUACUACUACUACUACAUCUUAAUCACAGUGAAGGCAUAAGAUCCAUUAAACGCAGCGUAUUGAUUCUAAAGUGUACUACAAAGAUUCAUUUAACAGAAUAGAAAUGAGAUAUAUAGAUAUUACCAGGAGAACUGUUUUGGAAUUCGAACAUUUGAGGAUUCUUGACCCAACUGUUGUUGUUGUUGUUGGGAGGCUGCUCCACGCGUCCUCGACCUCGUCCUCUUCCUCUCCCACGCCCUCUUCCUCGUUUCUGAGAAGCAAACCCCGUCGACAAAGGAACGGAGGAGGAGAGUGGCAUCGGAGAAAGAGUCACGGCCAGUGAGCCGUCGGGGUUAUACUUUCUCGGUCUCCCUCUCUUCUUCUUCGCCAGCUCAGCAGAAGAAUUCUCCACCGGCAUUGUUAAGCUGAAAGGAGGAGCAGCAUUCUCAGUAGCUUUAGCCGCCACGGCGGAUGCAGAUGCGGCGGCGGUGGUGUUGGGUAGUCCCGCCGGAAAAGGGUUAGGGUUUCCGGACCGUGGUGGGUCCAUUUGGUAGACACCACCACCACUAGGAGGAGGAGGAGCUACGUGUUGUUUCAGACCAAAACUGGUUAUGAUGUUGCUGGUUCCUCCUCUCUCCUCCAUCUGAAGAUUCUGUAAGGAGGGAGAGAUAAAAGGAGAAGAAGUAAGACACUUGAAUCUUGCUGACCACGACAGGUACGAGCUUCUGAGACAAAAAAGACUUUUAAAGUACAGACAAUAGAAAAAGAGAUCCAGAGAACGUAAGAUUCACAAGAGCAAAAAGAAAACAAAAGCAAAAGAUGGAAGUUCAAAUUAAGUGAAGAGGAAGAUCAGAGCUUCCAUGGCAGAACCUUAAUUUCACUUGAAUUUCUUCUAAAACAUUCUUAAUUACCUGCACAAAUGAAAUUGGUAUUUUUUUUUGUCUCCUUUUUUCUAUGGGGUGGGUUAAGUUUAUGGAGAAAUUUCUUUUACAGAUGUGAGAAAUUAGGGUUUUGAGAAAGAAAAUGGGAAGAUAAAUAAUAAAAAUAAAUAAAUAAGAUGAGCGGAUAUUUUAUUACAUUAUUACAUUUUGAUAUUAUAAAUUAAAAAUGGGAGAAAAAAUGAGAGAGAGAGAGAGAGACAAGAAAAGAAAAGAAAAGAAAAGUGUAAAUUCAAAAACAAUUGUAAUAAUGGGGUUAAUUAGAAAAUUUUCAAAAAGAGUUACACGCCACUCUUUAACAGUCUUGGAAUUUGGGAUACAGCUAAAGCUAAAUUAAUUUAAUAUAAUGAGUAGGGGGGCAAUUUUUAAUUAUAUACAGUUGGACUUGGUUUUUGAGAUUUGAAUAGUAUUAAAAUAGAGAAAGAAAAAGAUUUGAGUCUUUUCUUGGUUUCGAGUCAUAUGCCAUUUUAUAAUAUGUGCUCAUUCUGUUUCAUAAUAGUUGAUGUUUUAGAAAAUGUUUGUUGUUUCAAAAUAGAUAAAGUUUUGAUAUAUUUAUAUUAUUUUUAAUUUUAUUGAAAAUUGUGUAACUAAUUAGAUUUUGCAGUUAUUUUUUUAAUUGGUUAAAUAAUUUUUAAAUUAUAUCUGUAAAAUUUUUUUUUUUUUAAAUAGAUUUUUUAAUAUAUAUAUAAUGAGUUAAAACAUCAUAUAUAUAUUGUGAAACGGAGGGAUAAUUUCUUUUUCCAGUCUACCCACUUUGACUAUAACCAAUCCAAUUGUCAGCUACGAUAUCUCUGUUCUUGCAGCUCUUGUCCUUGCCAUUAGGUGUGGUACGUGAGUCAAUGUGACUCCUGUCCUGCGUGGUAUGGUUCCAAAAUAUAAUGAUGCAUUUCAGCUUUUAGGGUACAGAAAUCAAGCACAUACUUUGACAAAUGGUUAAAAUGAAUUUGAAAAGUUUUUUUUUUUUUCAUCAAACUUAUUAAUCUGAGACAAAAAGAAUUCAAGUUCGUGUAGAGAAAAACGUUUAGUUAUCAGAUCUGCCACUUGAUUUGCAAAUCUAAAUAUAAUCAAACAUAUUUCAUAUAGCUAGAAUAUUAGAAAACUCAGUGUUCUCUUCACCUUUGUAUUAUCAAGUUAAUUAUAGUUUGGGAAUCAAAGAGAACAUAUAUCUCUUCACUACCUCCCUGUCUCUUUCGGUGCUCAUACAUACUCUGCUUGAUAGUCCAAGCUUCUGGCCGAGGCUAUAAAACCUCUUGAAUCAGCUAACUCAAUGUCAUCUAUACUUCUGGAUUUGCAAUUGGGUCUAUAGAGACAAAUCAAUCUCUUGAUGAGUUGCUUCUCAUCAAACUUGACAGUUCUUUGAUCCAUCUAUAAAAUAGAAUAAAAGGACUUAUCUCUGCUAAUCACUUCUUGCGCUAUUUUUGGAGCGUUUUCUUCUAGAUUUUACAUCUAAAACUCAACAUUUUUGAGUUUUAUUCUCCUGUAAAGUGUCCAGAGAGCAGCCUUAGACCACAAAUGAAGAAGAUCCAUCAGACUCAGAGCUUUGUUCAGUUAUCACUUUGUGUCUAUUCUUUGGACUGAGAAACAACUUUUCUUGUUAGUCUCCAAGAAACCUUACACAUGUGAAAACGGUUGCUUAAAGAAAAAGCCAAUCAUAUAAUUGACCUUUUUAACAAACCAAAGAACAAUCAAUUUGAGUUUUACACAAAAAAUAAAGACAGAAUGAAAAUCAGACGUGGAUCAAAGACUCGGACUGUAGCAUGAAAGCGAGUCUUCGUUCCUCAAAGGAGUACUCAACAACUUCAACCUUUUCUGGAAGCAAUCUUGCAUUGUUGAAUGGUGUCGCUGCAGUUUGCAUCGGGACAGAGAUUGUUGCUGGUGUAGAUGGGAUAGGAAUCAUCGCUGCUACAUUCUUUGGUGUUUGCAUCAUCAUCAACUUCUCUUCUUCCAAGUUCCUUACACUGUUGUUGUCCUUGACGGGAGUUGCAAAUGCCGAUAUCUCAUUCACUGCGUUGCUUUUCGGGGUUGGAAGAAGUUGCUGCGGCGUUGCUAUGUUAGCCUUUGAUGCAACCACCGUGGUAGGAAGGGGUGAGAAUGGUUUGCGCACUAGUGGAGAUUGCAGCUGUUCGCAUGGAUUCAUUGACUGUUUCCUUGAGGGAAGUCCAGCAACAUCAAGCCCUCUUCUUCCUGCAGGAGAAUAAAAUAUUUCAUUCAUCAAUGCAAUUAAGAGAAACUACUCAACCCAAUGAUUCUAUAUUAGUUACCAGUUGAUAAAGCUCCAUCAAUCUGGCGCUGAUCUGCUUUCUUGUUAGGCUUAGGAGUCUGAUGCAUCCCUGCUCCUAAGGAGAGUCUUCGGUUGGUUGCUGCACCACCGGUUGACAUUCUUGGAGCCUUUUUACCACCAAGAGGUUUUGAUGGGCUCGGUUUUGACCCGUAAAGCGCCUCUUGUUCUGCUAUGAGCUGUCCUUGGAGUUUCUUAUGAUCCUUUUAACAUGUAGAAAACAGUAACAUCACAUAGAGUUACAUUAGGAAGAUUACACUGGCCAAAAAGUUUCUGAUGGGAAUAAGAGAAAGUACUUACCCGUUGGCGACGGUGUUCUUCUUCUCUUUCCUGCCUGAGUAAGUUAUACUCCUCGAGCAUGGAGAGUAGACGAAUCUACACACGGAAAAAGAGGAUUAAGAAUGGUCAGCGAUGAUAUA
rnacentral:lncRNA from 1 species